CCCUUAGAUGUCCUGGGCCGCACGCGUGCUACACUGAUGCGUGCAACAAGCGAUAUUCCUGAUCCGGAAGGAUUCGGGUAAUCUUCACAAUGCGCAUCGUGCUAGGGAUAGAUCUUUGAAACUAUGGAUCUUGAACGAGGAAUUCCUAGUAAGCAUAAGUCAUCAGCUUGUGCUGAUUACGUCCCUGCCCUUUGUACACACCGCCCGUCGCUGCUACCGAUUUUGAGUGGUCCGGUGAACCUUCUGGACUGAGGUUGGUCCUAUCCAGCUUUGGGAAGUUAAGUAAACCUUAUCACUUAGAGGAAGCAGAAGUCGUAACA
rnacentral:rRNA from 1 species